rnacentral:rRNA from 1 species
GUGAGGAAUAUUGGUCAAUGGGCGAGAGCCUGAACCAGCCAAGUAGCGUGCAGGAUGACGGCCCUAUGGGUUGUAAACUGCUUUUACACGGGGAUAAAGUGUGCGACGUGUCGUUCAUUGCAGGUACCGUGCGAAUAAGGACCGGCUAAUUCCGUGCCAGCAGCCGCGGUAAUACGGAAGGUCCGGGCGUUAUCCGGAUUUAUUGGGUUUAAAGGGAGCGUAGGCCGUCUGUUAAGCGUGUUGUGAAAUGUAGAUGCUCAACAUCUGAAUUGCAGCGCGAACUGACCGACUUGAGUGCGCAGGAAGUAGGCGGAAUUCGUGGUGUAGCGGUGAAAUGCUUAGAUAUGGCACAGAACACCAAUUGCGAAGGCAGCUCACUAAGGCGAUACUGACGCUGAGGCACGAAAGCGUGGGGAUCGAACAGGAUUAGAAACCCCAGUAGUCC